AUAUCUAAUAAUUUAGUUUAGUUUGUUUGCCAAAACAAUAAAAUGGAACGGCUCAAAUUUUGAAAUUCUAUUUUCAACAAUUUGAUUUUUGCGCACCUUUGGAUUAAGUAAACUAACUCUUUUCGUACUAAAAGAAAUGAUGAAGAUCUUACAUAGAGACUCGUUUGCUAGUAAAACCAAGCAAGAUCGUACGAAACUACGAAUCUAUUUAACGCUCCGCAUAUCUGUUUUGUUUUAAAGUCCUACGUUAAGGGAAACGUCAAUCAAAGUCCAGGGACAGUGAAGGACAGCGAAAUCAGACACUUUGUAGCUACUUACGUCUGUGUGUGCUCAAGAAUAUUUUGAAGAAGUUAUUUUACAGAACCUAUUUUCAAUAAAACGAGAAAAAUAACAAGCAUAAAGCGUUGUAUAGCUUGUUAGACUCUGGGGUCCAGUCAACAGAGGAAAGUAAUUUAUUUGAGUGUAAUAAGACCCUCAACCAUGAUUUGUAAAAACAACCGAUUUCAGGAGAGGAUCUGCAGUUAUAAGAGCUCGAAUAAUUUCUAAAUUAAUUUAAUGUAGUAAUAAAAUAAAAUAAAUACAUAAAUAAAAUAUUUUGAACAGA